rnacentral:lncRNA from 1 species
GGUAACAAAGACUCAACAAACGACUAUCGUUUAAAAUUUAACUUGAUUAGGAUUAAACAAAAAUCAUUACGUAUUAAAAAGUGUAAUGAAAAUGAAGUGAAAAAAUACUAUUUAUUUAUGUUUGCAUAUUUUAAUAAGUAUUUUUUUAAUAUACUAAUGGAGAAAUUUGAUAUAUUAUUAAAUAAUACUGUUAUAAUAAAAAUGUUUUUAAAUACAAAACUGUUAUUAAUAUUUUUGACAAAGCUGAUGCAAAAAAGCUGUUACCCUUAUAAGAUUAUGGAAAUAUAUAAAAAAAUUAUAACAAAUAAUUAUAAACAGUUCAUACAAAAAAAAUUAAUAAGGUUGUUAUUGAAUUUGGUUGAUUAUUACAUUAAUACAUUCGAGAAUGUACGACCAUACAACAAACGAAACUCUGGUACUGGCAUUGGUACUACCAUUGGUACUACCAUUGGUACAGGUACAAUAUUUAAAAGGGGUGUAUUAUUAAAUGAAAAUACAAAUGGUGAUGAAAAUAACGGUAUUAAAACUAUCAAUAAUGAUAAACUUAGUAAACAUAACAACCUGCAAAAAAUUAUAAAAGUGGUAGACAAGAAAGCCAUGGGUAGUAAAUGUCAUGAUGGUAAAGUUAGAACUUAUAAUACUAUGGACAAAUAUUCAAACUUUACAGAUGAACAAACAGUACAAUAUAUUGAUAAACUAAAUAAUGAUAAUGCAAAGACAGAGUCGAAAAAAGAAAAACUAAAAAAAAUUAAUUAUAAAAAUUUAGUAACAAACAAGGAAGCAGUAACACAAAGAGAAAAUACAUUUUUUAAUAAUUUAAAAGGGUUUUUUAAAUAUUAUGAACAUUUGUUUAACAACUAUUUGUUUGAUAAACAAUCAGAAAUAAAAACAUUAUGCAAGUCAAUUAUCCAGGUGUUAAUAAAUAAAAAAGAUAUCGAGUUGAUUAUUCAAUUAAUAUGUAUUAAAAAUUUUUCUACUAGCUCUUUAUUUAGUAAGGAAUUAAAAUCAUUUUUUGAAACGUUAAAACUCACAAAUAUUAUGUUAUUUAAGGAAUUAUUUGCAACUGAAAAAAAUCAAAAUUAUAACGCUAUUUUAGUAAUGUGCAAACAUAUCAAAAACAUUAACGAAAAGAAGCAAAUUUUGUUAUUUAUGGAAGCACAAAUGAUUAAGAAGAAGUUGCAAAGCAGUAGUAUAAAUGUUAUGAAAAUUUUGAAUGC